UGCGGAAAACCAGAGGCUGUUUCUGA
rnacentral:snoRNA from 1 species